rnacentral:rRNA from 1 species
GAUGAACGCUGGCGGCAUGCCUAACACAUGCAAGUCGAUCGGUAAGGCUCUUCGGAGUACACGAGAGGCGGACGGCUGAGUAACGCGUAGGAAUACACCCUGCAGUGAGGGAUAAGACACCGAAAGGUGUUCUAAUACCGCAUACGGUCUUCGGAUUAAAGCAUUUAUGCGCUGAAGGAGUGGCCUGCGUCAUAUUAGAUAGUUGGUGAGGUAAUGGCUCACCAAGUCGAUGAUGUGUAGCUGGUCUGAGAGGAUGAUCAGCCAGACUGGAACUGAGACACGGUCCAGACUCCUACGGGAGGCAGCAGUGAGGAAUAUUUCACAAUGAGCGAAAGCUUGAUGGAGCAAUGCCGCGUGCAGGAUGAAGGCCCUCGGGUUGUAAACUGCUUUUAUAAGAGAAGAUUAUGACGGUAACUUAUGAAUAAGGGACGGCUAACUACGUG